rnacentral:lncRNA from 1 species
AGAAGAAGAGGAACCUGUAAUACCCUGAAAAUUUAAAUAUAUGAAUUAUAUAUUCAUAAUUAUUAAUAUGUGAAGAAAAUCAAAAGUAAAUCGAUUUAUGGGUACGAAAAUAAAAUUUGGAAAAUUGUAAAGUUUUGUUUCUAAACAUUAUGAUAAUAUACGUAUUGGUAUUAUUGAGAUUUUUUGUUAUUUUUCGAGAAAUUAUAUUAAAUUGUUUGAGAUUAUUUUUUAAAUUAAACUAAUUACGAGGUUUAAAGCUUGGAAAUUAAUUAUUUAAAAUUUAUAGACCUUUUAAGGUCACAAUUUAUAUUUUU